rnacentral:tRNA from 1 species
GCCCCCGUAGCUCAGUGGAUAGAGCACAGGAUUCCUAAUCCUGGUGCCGCGCGUCCGAUUCGCGCCGGGGGCACCA